CCUGAGGUGGUGGUACCUGGGGUUCACCUAAUGUUUCUCCUCAAAGUGAAACCAGUGCGGGCGGUAGUCUCCGCGCGUGCGUUCGCUGCGGCCCGCGGGUCGCGUGGUCAGCUCGGAACCUGAGGGUGUGGGGGAAGGUCGGGGCGUCUGGGGAAGGGUCCUGACAGGCAGGGUGGAGGAGGAUCGCGGGGCGGGUCCGGGGGAGGGUCGCCAAGCGUUCCCGCAGGACUCGAGCCCGUGGCCAUGACCGCGCUCCGGGUUCCGCGGCGGCUGUGCUGGUUGGUGCUGGAUGAGAGGAGCUGCACGCGGCUGGGCGCGCGGGCUGCGCGGGGUCUGCCGGAGAUACCCUCCUGCACACUUUACGCGCCACAGCCGCUGGGACAUCUUGGCCUAUCUGGGACCUGGACAUCGAAGCCGUCCACCAGGACUACAAGCGGGCUCUCUCUGCACGAGGCUGCCUCCAUGGGACACCCGGACUGCGUGCGGUACCUGCUGGCCCGGGGGGCCGCCGUCGACUGCUUGGAAGGCCGACUGGAAACAACCUGACCAAGCCCGCCUGUCAAUGACUGCAGGAAGGGAAUUAACACAUUCCCUUCAGAGGCUGAUGGGAACCAGGAAAGAGGCCUUGCUUCCGGCUCUUCAAACCCCAGUUCCUGGUGUGAACCAGCUUGGCCGAUGCUCUUGCUUGGGCUGGGGGUGCCGUGUGCGGAGACGCUGCACCCACCUUAAUGUAAGGUGGCAAUGAGCCUUGUGAGCCCCACUACCGGGAGCAGCUGUGCCUAUCUCUGCUCCCCAGAACCCCGCCAACUCCACCCACUCCCCCGCUG
ensembl:lncRNA